AUUGAACGCUGGCGGCAGGCCUAACACAUGCAAGUCGAGCGAGCGGCGGACGGGUGAGUAAUGUCUGGGAACCUGCCUCAUGGAGGGGGAUAACUACUGGAAACGGUAGCUAAUACCGCAUACCAUCAGAUGUGCCCAGGUGGGAUUAGCUCGUAGGUGGGGUAACGGCUCACCUAGGCGACGUGCCCUAGCCGGUCUGCGAGGAUGACCAGCCACACUGAAAUUGAAAAGAGGUCCGGAAUCCUAGGGGAGGCGGCAGGGGGGAAUAUGGCACAUUGGGCGCAAGCCUAAUGCAGCCAUGCCGGGUGUUUGAGGAAGGCCUUCGGGUGGUAAAGCACUUUCAGCGGGAAGACGUUACCCGCAGAAGAAGCACCGGCUAACUCCGUGCCAGCCGCCGCGGUAAUUC
rnacentral:rRNA from 1 species